rnacentral:rRNA from 1 species
UACGGGGGGGGCAAGCGUUGUUCGGAAUUACUGGGCGUAAAGGGCUCGUAGGUGGCCAACUAAGUCAUACGUGAAAUCCCUCGGCUUAACCGGGGAACUGCGUCUGAUACUGGAUGGCUUGAGGUUGGGAGAGGGAUGCGGAAUUCCAGGUGUAGCGGUGAGAUGCGUAGAUAUCUGGAGGAACACCGGUGGCGAAGGCGGCAUCCUGGACCAAUUCUGACACUGAGGAGCGAAAGCCAGGGGAGCAAACGGG